CCGGGCGACUGUUUACCAAAAACACAGGUCUCCGCAAAGUCAUAAGACCAUGUAUGGGGGCUGACGCCUGCCCAGUGCCGGAAGGUCAAGGAAGUUGGUGAACUGAUGACAGGGAAGCCGGCGACCGAAGCCCCGGUGAACGGCGGCCGUAACUAUAACGGUCCUAAGGUAGCGAAAUUCCUUGUCGGGUAAGUUCCGACCCGCACGAAAGGCGUAACGAUCUGG
rnacentral:ncRNA from 1 species